rnacentral:misc_RNA from 1 species
ACCGAAGCCUGUAGCCGUCUCCGGGCGUGACGGGCGGCUGGUAUCCUCCUUCCGAGGGGUGUAUGUCGCAAAGUGGGCCGGCGUUCUGCGCCGCGAAUCCCCACGUGUUGUGCACGGACCGCCUCUUGGGCAGCUCAGUGGGGGCAAUCGGAUGGCCCGUAGAUAUCCCUUGGGCGUCUGCCUCGGGGGUUUCCCGGGCUUGGGGCCCCGGCUUCGGCCAGAGCCCCCGACCUGUUAACUAACCCUGACCACCUCUCUCGAGGUCUUCCGGGGUCGUCGCCCUCCGGGGCGGAGGCCUGCCCGGUAAAGAUAGUUACCUGGUUGAUUCUGCCAGNNUCAUAUGCUUGUCUCAA